GCGAAGUCCAAGGCUUCCAAGCCCGCCUCAUCUUCAUCCUCUGGCGACGCCGGUUCUUUCGCCCCCGUUGCCGGCAUUGCCGUCGUUGGCGCUGCUGCUGCCCUCGUUGGUGGUGGCAAGAAGAAGGAGCCUGAGCCCGAGCCUGAGCCCGAGCCGGUCAACACGCCCUUCUCCUUCUUUGGCAGGAAGCCGGAGCCCGAGCCGGAGCCCGAGCCCCCGAAGAAGAAGGGUUUCUCCUUCGGAGCCAAGAAGACUCCGCCUCCCCCUCCUCCGGCUCCCGAGCCCGUCAAGAAGGCUCUCUUCUCCUUCGGCGCCAAGAAACCUGAGCCCGAGCCUGAGCCCGAGCCUGUGAAGAAGAAGCCGGCCUUCUCCUUCGGUGGCACCCAGAAGAUGAAGAAGGCACCCGAGCCGGAGCCCGAGCCCGAGCCCGUGAAGAAGAAGCCGAUGUUCUCCUUCGGUGGCACGCAGAAGAUGAAGAAGGCCCCCGAGCCUGAGCCCGAGCCUGAGCCCGAGCCCGUCAAGAAGAAGCCGAUGUUCUCCUUUGGCGGCACCCGGAAGAUGAAGAAGGCCCCCGAGCCUGAGCCCGAGUUCGAGCCCGAGCCUGAGCCCGUCAAGAAGACUCCUCCCAAGCCCCUCUUCGCGCGCAAGGCUCCGGUCAAGAAGGCUCCUGAGCCCGAGCCUGAGCCCGAGCCUGAGCCCGAGCCCGAGCCCGUCAAGAAGGCCCCCGAG
rnacentral:lncRNA from 1 species